GGGUGACUGCGUACCUUUUGUAUAAUGGGUCAGCGACUUAUAUUCUGUAGCAAGGUUAACCGUAUAGGGGAGCCGCAGGGAAACCGAGUCUUAACUGGGCGUUAAGUUGCAGGGUAUAGACCCGAAACCCGGUGAUCUAGCCAUGGGCAGGUUGAAGGUUGGGUAACACUAACUGGAGGACCGAACCGACUAAUGUUGAAAAAUUAGCGGAUGACUUGUGGCUGGGGGUGAAAGGCCAAUCAAACCGGGAGAUAGCUGGUUCUCCCCGAAAGCUAUUUAGGUAGCGCCUCGUGAACUCAUCUUCGGGGGUAGAGCACUGUUUCGGCUAGGGGGUCAUCCCGACUUACCAACCCGAUGCAAACUACGAAUACCGAAGAAUGUUAUCACGGGAGACACACGGCGGGUGCUAACGUCCGUCGUGAAGAGGGAAACAACCCAGACCGCCAGCUAAGGUCCCAAAGUCAUGGUUAAGUGGGAAACGAUGUGGGAAGGCCCAGACAGCCAGGAUGUUGGCUUAGAAGCAGCCAUCAUUUAAAGAAAGCGUAAUAGCUCACUGGUCGAGUCGGCCUGCGCGGAAGAUGUAACGGGGCUAAACCAUGCACCGAAGCUGCGGCAGCGACACUAUGUGUUGUUGGGUAGGGGAGCGUUCUGUAAGCCGUUGAAGGUGGCCUGUGAGGGUUGCUGGAGGUAUCAGAAGUGCGAAUGCUGACAUAAGUAACGAUAAUGCGGGUGAAAAACCCGCACGCCGGAAGACCAAGGGUUCCUGUCCAACGUUAAUCGGGGCAGGGUGAGUCGACCCCUAAGGCGAGGCCGAAAGGCGUAGUCGAUGGGAAACAGGUUAAUAUUCCUGUACUCGGUGUUACUGCGAAGGGGGGACGGAGAAGGCUAUGUUGGCCGGGCGACGGUUGUCCCGGUUUAAGCAUGUAGGCGGAUGUUCCAGGUAAAUCCGGAACGUCACUAACGCUGAGGUGUGAUGACGAGGCACUACGGUGCUGAAGUGACAAAUGCCCUGCUUCCAGGAAAAGCCUCUAAGCAUCAGGUAACAUCAAAUCGUACCCCAAACCGACACAGGUGGUCAGGUAGAGAAUACCAAGGCGCUUGAGAGAACUCGGGUGAAGGAACUAGGCAAAAUGGUGCCGUAACUUCGGGAGAAGGCACGCUGAUGGUAAGUGAAGCGACUUGCUCGUGGAGCUGAAAUCAGUCGAAGAUACCAGCUGGCUGCAACUGUUUAUUAAAAACACAGCACUGUGCAAACACGAAAGUGGACGUAUACGGUGUGACGCCUGCCCGGUGCCGGAAGGUUAAUUGAUGGGGUUAUCCUCGCGGAGAAGCUCUUGAUCGAAGCCCCGGUAAACGGCGGCCGUAACUAUAACGGUCCUAAGGUAGCGAAAUUCCUUGUCGGGUAAGUUCCGACCUGCACGAAUGGCGUAAUGAUGGCCAGGCUGUCUCCACCCGAGACUCAGUGAAAUUGAACUCGCUGUGAAGAUGCAGUGUACCCGCGGCAAGACGGAAAGACCCCGUGAACCUUUACUAUAGCUUGACACUGAACACUGGUCCUUGAUGUGUAGGAUAGGUGGGAGGCUUUGAAGUGUGGACGCCAGUCUGCAUGGAGCCAUCCUUGAAAUACCACCCUUUAAUGGCUGGUGUUCUAACGUGGGCCCGUAAUCCGGGUUGCGGACAGUGUCUGGUGGGUAGUUUGACUGGGGCGGUCUCCUCCUAAAGAGUAACGGAGGAGCACGAAGGUCAGCUAAUCCUGGUCGGACAUCAGGAGGUUAGUGCAAUGGCAUAAGCUGGCUUGACUGCGAGCGUGACGGCGCGAGCAGGUGCGAAAGCAGGUCAUAGUGAUCCGGUGGUUCUGAAUGGAAGGGCCAUCGCUCAACGGAUAAAAGGUACUCCGGGGAUAACAGGCUGAUACCGCCCAAGAGUUCAUAUCGACGGCGGUGUUUGGCACCUCGAUGUCGGCUCAUCACAUCCUGGGGCUGAAGUAGGUCCCAAGGGUAUGGCUGUUCGCCAUUUAAAGUGGUACGCGAGCUGGGUUUAGAACGUCGUGAGACAGUUCGGUCCCUAUCUGCCGUGGGCGCUGGAGAAUUGAGGGGGGCUGCUCCUAGUACGAGAGGACCGGAGUGGACGCAUCACUGGUGUUCGGGUUGUCAUGCCAAUGGCAUUGCCCGGUAGCUAAAUGCGGAAGAGAUAAGUGCUGAAAGCAUCUAAGCACGAAACUUGCCCCGAGAUGAGUUCUCCCUGACCCUUUAAGGGUCCUGAAGGAACGUUGAAGACGACGACGUUGAUAGGCCGGGUGUGUAAGCGCAGCGAUGCGUUGAGCUAACCGGUACUAAUGAACCGUGAGGCUUAACCUUACAACGCCGAAG
rnacentral:rRNA from 1 species